rnacentral:tRNA from 1 species
GACUCAUUGGCUCAGAGGCACGGCGUCUGUCUUGUAAGCAGAAGGCCGCUGGUUCGAUUCCAGCAUGACGCA